UUCCUACGGGAUGCAGCAGUGGGGAAUUUUGGACAAUGGGGGCAACCCUGAUCCAGCCAUGCCGCGUGAGUGAAGAAGGCCUUCGGGUUGUAAAGCUCUUUCGGCCGGGAAGAAAUCGCAUGGGCUAAUACCCUGUGCGGAUGACGUACCCGGCACAAGGAGACCCCGUUUG
rnacentral:rRNA from 1 species